rnacentral:rRNA from 1 species
GAUGAACGCUAGCGGCAGGCCUAACACAUGCAAGUCGAGGGGUAGAAUUAGCUUGCUAAUUUGAGACCGGCGCACGGGUGCGUAACGCGUAUGCAAUCUACCUUGUACAGGGGGAUAGCCCAGAGAAAUUUGGAUUAAUACUCCAUGGUAUAAUUGAAUCGCAUGGUUUGAUUAUUAAAGUUCCAACGGUACAAGAUGAGCAUGCGUCCCAUUAGCUAGUUGGUGUGGUAACGGCAUACCAAGGCGACGAUGGGUAGGGGUCCUGAGAGGGAGAUCCCCCACACUGGUACUGAGACACGGACCAGACUCCUACGGGAGGCAGCAGUGAGGAAUAUUGGUCAAUGGUCGGAAGACUGAACCAGCCAUGCCGCGUGCAGGAAGACGGUCCUAUGGAUUGUAAACUGCUUUUGUACGGGAAGAAACACUCCUUCGUGAAGGAGCUUGACGGUACCGUAAGAAUAAGGAUCGGCUAACUCCGUGCCAGCAGCCGCGGUAAACU